rnacentral:rRNA from 1 species
UACGUAGGGGGCAAGCGUUGUCCGGAUUUAUUGGGCGUAAAGAGCGUGUAGGCGGCCAGACAGGUCUGCUGUGAAAACUCGAGGCUCAACCUCGAGACGCCGGUGGAAACCGUCUGGCUAGAGUCCGGAAGAGGAGAGUGGAAUUCCUGGUGUAGCGGUGAAAUGCGCAGAUAUCAGGAAGAACACCCGUGGCUAAGGCGGCUCUCUAGUACGGUACUGACGCUGAGACGCGAAAGCGUGGGGAGCGAAAAGG